AGAGUUUGAUCCUGGCUCAGGAUGAACGCUGGCGGCGUGCCUAACACAUGCAAGUCGAGCGAGAUGUUCAUGAAGAAUCCUUCGGGUGCCUGAUUGGACGGAAAGCGGCGGACGGGUGAGUAACGCGUAGGUAACCUGCCCUGUACAAAGGGAUAGCCACUGGAAACGGUGAUUAAUACCUUAUGAUACCGGAUGAUCACAUGGUCGACCGGUCAAAGAUUUAUCGGUACAGGAUGGACCUGCGUCUGAUUAGCUGGUUGGUAAGGUAACGGCUUACCAAGGCGACGAUCAGUAGCCGACCUGAGAGGGUGAUCGGCCACAUUGGAACUGAGACACGGUCCAAACUCCUACGGGAGGCAGCAGUGGGGAAUAUUGCACAAUGGGGGAAACCCUGAUGCAGCAACGCCGCGUGAACGAAGAAGGCUCUUGGGUCGUAAAGUUCUGUUCUGAGGGAAGAAAACAAUGACGGUACCUCAGGAGAAAGCCCCGGCUAACUACGUGCCAGCAGCCGCGGUAAUACGUAGGGGGCAAGCGUUGUCCGGAAUUACUGGGCGUAAAGAGUACGUAGGCGGUCUUGUAAGCGUAUGGUGAAAGGCAUCGGCUCAACCAGUGUCAGCCGUGCGAACUGCGAGACUUGAGUGCGGGAGAGGAAAGCGGAAUUCCUGGUGUAGCGGUGAAAUGCGUAGAUAUCAGGAGGAACACCGGUGGCGAAGGCGGCUUUCUGGACCGUAACUGACGCUGAGGUACGAAAGCGUGGGGAGCAAACAGGAUUAGAUACCCUGGUAGUCCACGCAGUAAACGAUGAUAACUAACCGUCGGCGAUAGACAGUCGGUGGCCAAGCGAAAGCGAUAAGUUAUCCACCUGGGGAGUACGACCGCAAGGUUGAAACUCAAAGGAAUUGACGGGGGCCCGCACAAGCGGAGGAACAUGUGGUUUAAUUCGAUGAUACGCGAGGAACCUUACCCGGGCUCGAACGGCUGGUGAACGACACAGAGAUGUGAAGGUCCUUCGGGACGCCAGUCGAGGUGCUGCAUGGUUGUCGUCAGCUCGUGCCGUGAGGUGUCGGCUCAAGUGCCAUAACGAGCGCAACCCUUGCUGUCAGUUACCAACAGUUUAAGCUGGGGACUCUGACAGGACUGCCACCGCAAGGUGAGAGGAAGGAGGGGAUGACGUCAAAUCAGCACGGCCCUUACGUCCGGGGCGACACACGUGUUACAAUGGGGGGUACAGAAGGCAGCCACCUGGUGACAGGGCGCUAAUCCCAAAAACCCUCCUCAGUUCGGACUGGAGUCUGCAACCCGACUCCACGAAGCUGGAUUCGCUAGUAAUCGCGCAUCAGCCAUGGCGCGGUGAAUACGUUCCCGGGCCUUGCACACACCGCCCGUCA
rnacentral:rRNA from 1 species